AGAACGAACGCUGGCGGCAGGCUUAACACAUGCAAGUCGAACGCUCGUAGCAAUACGGGAGUGGCAGACGGGUGAGUAACGCGUGGGAACAUACCCUCCGGUUCGGAAUAGCUCAGGGAAACUUGGAUUAAUACCGGAUACGGCUGAGAGGCGAAAGAUUUAUCGUCGGAGGAUUGGCCCGCGUUCGAUUAGCUUGUUGGUGAGGUAACGGCUCACCAAGGCGAUGAUCGAUAGCUGGUCUGAGAGGAUGAUCAGCCACAUUGGGACUGAGACACGGCCCAAACUCCUACGGGAGGCAGCAGUGGGGAAUAUUGGACAAUGGGCGCAAGCCUGAUCCAGCCAUGCCGCGUGAGUGAUGACGGCCUUAGGGUUGUAAAGCUCUUCCGCUCGGGACGAUAAUGACGGUACCGAGAUAAGAAGCCCCGGCUAACUUCGUGCCAGCAGCCGC
rnacentral:rRNA from 1 species